rnacentral:lncRNA from 1 species
UCUGAAUUGGCGGUCUUCGAUAUUCAAAACAAUCAGAUCAGCGAUUCUUUUCCAUGUUGGAUGAGCACACUUGGUAGGCUUUAUGUUCUUGUGCUAAAAUCUAAUGAGUUCUUUGGACAAGUGGGACCUUCUGCAGAAGAUAAAAAUAGUUGUGAAUUUCCACGCAUAAUGAUUCUGGAUCUAGCCUCAAACAACUUCUCCGGCACGCUGACAGAGGAAUGGUUAACGAACCUGACGUUCAUGAUGGGCGAAGCUGGGGCCUUGGCACUGCCUGCGUUGACAACUCAGUCUUAUUCUGAUGAAACACGAAUAUAUGAAGUUACAAAUGAACUCACAUAUAAAGGGUCAGACCUCACAAUGGAAACGGUAUUUCGGGUCCUUUGGUUCCUUGAUGUCUCAAACAAUGAUCUUCAGGGAAGCAUCCCUGCGGCUAUUGGGGAACUUGUUGAGUUAAACAGUCUCAACAUGUCGCAC